rnacentral:rRNA from 1 species
GAUCAUGGCUCAGGACGAACGCUGGCGGCGUGCCUAAUACAUGCAAGUAGAACGCACAGUUUAUACCGUAGCUUGCUACACCAUAGACUGUGAGUUGCGAACGGGUGAGUAACGCGUAGGUAACCUGCCUGGUAGCGGGGGAUAACUAUUGGAAACGGUAGCUAAUACCGCAUAAUAUUAAUUAUUGCAUGAUAAUUGAUUGAAAGGUGCAAUUGCACCACUACCAGAUGG